ACUGCAGCAGCAGCAGGAAGGCCCUGGAGAAGGAAUGCUCCAGGUAUGACACCUGGCUGGGUAGAAAUCUCCACCUGGAAAUUUUAUUUUCCUUUUGUGAGUUUGUUGGGUGUUUGGACAAUAAUAGGGCUGGAGGCUGACUUGACAGUGCUGAUAGUCCCCCAGCUGGUCAGGAAGGUUGCUGGACUACGGGGGGUCACAGAACAGUUUACCUGGGGCCUAAUUUUUCAACCACUUCACUGGGCCCAGCCAGGAGGAAAAGCCCAGCUGCCUUCUCAUCUCCCACAGUCAGGAAGAGCAGGGUGUCCUGUAAAGAGAGAUGGAUCCUGCAGCAGAACAUCUCCCCCUCUUCGAGCAAUGAGACUUAGGAGUCCCAUAUAAUGUCGGGAUUUAAUGGACCUCUGUUAUAAACAGCCCUGAAUGCACAGCAGAGGGAUGCAGCUGCCAUGCUGGCUUGUGUUAUGCAGGAAUUCACACUACGUGAUCACGAUGCUCCCUUCUGGCCUUGGAAUCUGUGCGUAAGACGCUGCAGCAGCCGAGCCCCCUUCCCUGGAUCUGUGCCUUACCUGUGCAACACAAACACUCGGCCUCGGCCUGGAUUGCUUUUGAAGUUCUGUGCUGUCAAAACGGCGAGGUCUCUAAGCAAGUUCAAGUUGUUCUGCAAGGGAAGCAAAGCUCAUGUUGCAGACCCAGGAGUCAGCGCGAGAACACGGGGAUGGGGUGGAGUGGGGUCGGGGAUGGAGUUUCCUGAGACAGGUGGAGUCACAAUUUUCCCAGCUUCCAGGGUCAACACAAGGGAGAUUUGAAAACUGAAUUCUCAUUGAAUACAAUUAUUCAGGGCACUGUUGCUGUUCCCAAAGCUCAGACCCUCGCCGGAGUGACUGCUGGGCCACAGCCGUACCUUCUGAAGCAGCUUCACCGAAUUCUGCAGCCUCUUCACAGCCUCCACAUGCUCCUCUGCUCCAUUUCUGGAAAACAACAAGGCAGAGUUCGGGCUGUCAAGGCGCUGGACGGAGAGGGCUCCACCAAUGAAGCCGCUGCAGACAACAUACCACCCGAGCCAGGGGCUAGAAAUGCCCUCUUUAGGGUCACAUGCUUCUCCUCCUUGCCCAGAGAGGAACAGCAAGGACAGGGGAAACUGGGAAAGGACAUUACUUAAGCAGCGAGGUUAAUGCCUUCUCGAUGCUGUGACUUCGCUCGACAGACUUCAGUACUCUAUUGCCUGCCAGAAAGACCAAGUUGGUUUUGUUCUUUUUUCCCUUUUCUGUGCCAAGGAGCUUAAUAACCUUAAACGAGAAACAAACACCCUGAUCAGAGAGGUACAAUGGUGUGUUACACACAGCUAAAGGUCCAUUAGACCAUGUGUCAUUGUGAAUGUCGACUCUCUAUCACCAGAAUUAAACCCACUGACAUCAGCCUUCAAAUAUAGCCACAAAAUAGAUGAGACACUUUCAUUAGCCAUGUGCCAUUACGCAUUAGCCAUGUACCAUGCUGUCUAGCGUGCCUGGACCCGGUGUGCCAACAAGCCUUCUUUACCCUAAUAUCCCCCACAGCGCACCAGGCAUGCCAACUGGCAGGGAAGGGUCAUUUGUCUUAUCAAGCUGACUGUAAGGACAUCAAAACCCAGAGGCAGCUCUGGAAUUAAAUUUUCAUCUAAUUCU